CUUGCCAUGGUUCUAAAACUUGGAGAAAGACUGCUGCCUUUCUGUGCUUUUCCUAAGGGUAAAUACUGCCGUGGGUUGGAUUGCACACAGAAUGUUGGAAGAAGAAAGAAGUGAAAAAAAUAAACCUCUCAUUAACUUCACCCGAGACAUUUUUUUUCCGAUGAGAUGGGUGAAAUUGUACUAUAGCAUUUUUAUCUACAUCAAGCUAGUCAAAAAUAGUGUCUUUUCUGAGAUUAAAACAGUGGUGCCCUAGAGUGUUAUGUACCGCGAUAGGGCAUUCUGGAACUUCAAUACCAAUUUAUGACACUGGGUGGAUCUCUGAAGUCAGGAGAACAAGAAAAGAAAUCACUGUCUUGGCAUGAGAAGAGUGGAUUGGGCUCCACCCUGUUUGUUAGUGUCUUGAUUUCUCCAUUUUCCAUCUGCUUCAUGACAGGAUGAUUUGCUGUGGCAUCACUGUACUGUUUGUCACUGAAAGAAUAGGAAUUAAUUAUCAUUGCAAAGCAGCAGAAAAGGCAGUUAAAUCUUCCUUCUGACGAGAAACUUCAGUUGCUGGAAAUGUUGGGAAUCUGCAGUUCUUCGCCAUAGGACUUAAACUCAUCUUGCUUUUGAAAUACUUUUUGUGCGCCAAUUCUACUGAAUCUGGACUGAACAGAAGUCUUGAAAGGUAAGGGAUAUUUCUGCUUAACUUUUGAGCGUGCGUUGUUAUAGCCACCUCUUUUAGGUAAAACUUUCCUCCCUUACUCUCUAGUUCUGGUUUUCCAGGAUGUCAUCACAUUUCUUA